UUAUUGAUCUGUUGUUGGAGAAGCUUGAAACAAAUUGAAGUCUCCCCACCAAACAACUUAAUUGAAUCCAAUAGUCCCAUUUACUCCCACCAAGCCCGGCAGCCACUUACUCCUUCCAAAAUAGCAACCCAUUUACUUCCUCAGUUCCUCUAACCAAUACACAUAUGCCUACUGAAUGUGUCGAAACCUCCGUCCUCACAAAACCAAUUGCCUCUCUCCCUUCUCACAAAACGUGAAACCCUCUCUUCUCUAUCACUGAUUUACUCUCUCCUCUGUCCUCCGUCCUAGUCUUCUGGCAAACUCCUCUGCGAAAUUGAAAUGGGUUUGUUUGUAAUUGCGAGUUUCUCUUAGAUUUAGGGUUCUUAGGUUCCAUUCUCUUAGAUUGUUCAUCUUCCUCUUCAGCGACAUGGGAGAUAGAGUGCCCCAGAUCCAUUUUCUCUAUCUCCUCCUUGCCUUCAAACUAGGGUCAAUUGAAGAGAUGUUGAAGACGAAGGUGUCCGAGAUGGCGGAGGCGAACGUGCUGUGCUACGCCGAUGAGGCGGCGCUACGCUGGGCCUGUGACGAGAAGGUCCACGCCGCCAACAUGCUCGCCAGCAAGCACUAAAGGGUUUCACUUUCCGCUUCCCAGAUGCCCAAGUGUGAUAUCUGCCAGGGUGGUGAUUGUGCUGAGAGCUUCAAGGAGUUCAGUGCCAAUAACAAAUAACAUUAGGGACAACUUCAGAGUUAUGCUUGAGAUGAGUGUGGUUCUUAUGUUUGGUGGGCAAAUGAAUAUUGUCAAGGUGGGAAGAAUGGCAGGCUGGGUUAGACGGGCAUGGCAGUCCUCUGAAGAUCAGCUCUCGUCUGUCACCAGUUUGGAUGCUGUGGUCUUCGAUCAUUGCACAUUUUCAUCUUUAGUUUGACGGUGUUUGGGUUCACUGGGAUUAUUGGGGCUUUUGUUCUUCUGCCAAUAAAUUUUCUGGGGACCCAGCUGGAGGUGGAUUUUUCGGAUUUGCCUAACAAGUCUUUGGACUCGUUUAGUAUUUCAAAUAUGGAUGAUGGCUCAAACUGGUACUUUCAAAAUCAACUUCUCCUUAUUAUCUACAGAUUGCAAAGAAACUUAAUGGUGAGCAAAAAAGCUAGCUUUGGUUUCGACUUGGCUACAGACAUGACGGUUGAUGCUUUUGCAGCAUCAUACUUCAACACAUUUGUUGAGCAACACAAUGGAUCCAAAGGAUCUUGUUAAACUCAUUGUUAACUUUCAUGUUACGUGGCUAACAAUGGUAUCUUCUAAUUCAUCUAAUGUUGUUUUCUUGAUAGAAAGGUUGCUAAAUGAUAGAUUAAAUUUGUAUAUCAAUUCCUUCAUUUUCCAUGUCCCUUUUCCUAUGCAUGUUAUCUUUCCAAUAUAUUUUCUAACUUGGUGUUUAUGAGUAUCCCUGCUUCAGCUGGGACUUGCAAUGCUAUUCUGGUUAUAAACCAUCUGAGUUGCAAGAUUGUGUCCUUGCCCUUCAUGACUUGCGGCUGAAUAAAUAAGGAAGCAAUUUGCGAGCAGUUACACACACACACAAGCAAAGCUGUUAGUGGCUUGUAAAGCUCAUGUUGUGGAGACUCUAGUUUUGAUUGGUUGUUAGGUUCGUCAUCAGCAAGGUCAUCAAAUCCCUUAUUUUGGACAUUGUUGGCGAACUGAGGAAGCGUAGAGACAAAGAAAGCAUAUAGAUGAAGAAGGGAUUGAAAGGUUUUCAACAGUCUUCAAUUAUGACAGUGAGGACUGGGAAGGAAGACAUUAGAACCAUAACCAAGGAUGUCCACCCUGCGGCAAUGAUCCAAAGCUCGAGAAGCAACGUAAAUGAGUUUUGGAGUGGGAUCUUAGAGCUCGAGAAGCAAGUACCAUGGAUUACCUCCUUUCAGCAUAUGAGCUACCAAGUUUGAUUCAUGGGUCUAGCUAGCAGCUAGGAAUAAUGCUUUUGAUUCAUGUGUAGGUAGCAGCUAGGAAUGCUUUCUUGUUUGGUGUAUUAUCUAAUAACUUGAAUGUUUGGAAGUUUGAAAAAUGCCACUUAUAUGAUAUGGAUUAGUGUGGUUUUAUGUGGUAAUAUGGAGCAUUAUUUUUGAAAAGA